rnacentral:rRNA from 1 species
AGAGUUUGAUCCUGGCUCAGGACGAACGCUGGCGGCGUGCCUAAUACAUGCAAGUAGAACGCUGAAGCUUGGUGCUUGCACCGAGCGGAUGAGUUGCGAACGGGUGAGUAACGCGUAGGUAACCUGCCUCUUAGCGGGGGAUAACUAUUGGAAACGAUAGCUAAUACCGCAUAAAAGUCGAUAUCGCAUGAUAUUGAUUUGAAAGGUGCAAUUGCAUCACUAAGAGAUGGACCUGCGUUGUAUUAGCUAGUUGGUGAGGUAACGGCUCACCAAGGCGACGAUACAUAGCCGACCUGAGAGGGUGAUCGGCCACACUGGGACUGAGACACGGCCCAGACUCCUACGGGAGGCAGCAGUAGGGAAUCUUCGGCAAUGGGGGCAACCCUGACCGAGCAACGCCGCGUGAGUGAAGAAGGUUUUCGGAUCGUAAAGCUCUGUUGUAAGUCAAGAACGAGUGUGAGAGUGGAAAGUUCACACUGUGACGGUAGCUUACCAGAAAGGGACGGCUAACUACGUGCCAGCAGCCGCGGUAAUACGUAGGUCCCGAGCGUUGUCCGGAUUUAUUGGGCGUAAAGCGAGCGCAGGCGGUUUGAUAAGUCUGAAGUUAAAGGCUGUGGCUCAACCAUAGUUCGCUUUGGAAACUGUCAAACUUGAGUGCAGAAGGGGAGAGUGGAAUUCCAUGUGUAGCGGUGAAAUGCGUAGAUAUAUGGAGGAACACCGGUGGCGAAAGCGGCUCUCUGGUCUGUAACUGACGCUGAGGCUCGAAAGCGUGGGGAGCGAACAGGAUUAGAUACCCUGGUAGUCCACGCCGUAAACGAUGAGUGCUAGGUGUUGGAUCCUUUCCGGGAUUCAGUGCCGCAGCUAACGCAUUAAGCACUCCGCCUGGGGAGUACGACCGCAAGGUUGAAACUCAAAGGAAUUGACGGGGGCCCGCAC